rnacentral:rRNA from 1 species
UACGUAGGGGGGCGAGCGUUGUUCGGAAUUACUGGGCGUAAAGGCUCGUAGGCGGCCAACUAAGUCAGACGUGAAAUCCCCAGGCUCAACUUGGGAACUGCGUCGGAUACUGGAUGGCUUGAAUUCGGGAGAGGGAUGCAGAAUUCCAGGUGUAGCGGUGAAAUGCGUAGAUAUCUGGAGGAAUACCGGUGGCGAAGGCGGCAUCCUGGACCGACAUUGACUGCUGAUGAGCGAAAGCUAGGGGAGCAAACAGG